GGUCCUUCAAUUUUGGCUCUGAAACGCUCAAUGCUAGUCAAUUGGACAAGAGUCAGGAUCAGACAAUCUUUGAAAACAACUCAAUUCUUGUCGACAAAAACGUCUACGAACAAUUAGUUGCCACGUGUGAUGCGAUGAAGGCACAAUUGCACCAAUUGAUGGAAAUGGUCGAUGAGAAGACAUUUGAUGAUCAGAAUCAAAAUUCAGAAGAAAUGAAAUUAAUUCUGAAAGAAAGAGAUGAACUGAAAAAGAAAGUCGAUCAAAAGAGCAAAGAGACUGUGCAUUGGACCAAAAAAUACUAUAAAUUGAAAGCUUAUGGACAAGAAAUAUUGAAAAAGCGAGAAAAUGAAAUUAAACUGCUGAAAUCGGAGGUCGUUGAUGGAAAAAAGAAGCUCAAUGAGAUAGUUGAAACGAUCAACCAUUUGGAGGAUGCAGCAAAUAAAGAAAAGAUCAAACGGAAGAAUGUGGAAAGUGAGAUGCGAAAAGCUGACAAGAUCAUCAAGGAUGCUUUGAGGGAAGAGAUGGAAGCAAGGAAACAGUCACAGAAAGAAUAUCUUCUUGAGAAAACUGAACGAAUGGCUCUGGAAGAGAAAAUUAGUGAAAAU
rnacentral:sRNA from 1 species